rnacentral:rRNA from 1 species
ACGCUCGACACCUACGGAGGCAGCAGUGGGGAAUAUUGCACAAUGGGGGAAACCCUGAUGCAGCGACGCCGCGUGAGUGAAGAAGUAUUUCGGUAUGUAAAGCUCUAUCAGCAGGGAAGAAAAUGACGGUACCUGACUAAGAAGCCCCGGCUAACUACGUGCCAGCAGCCGCGGUAAUCUGAGGCGGCGUGGCAAGGC